UACGAAGGGGGCUAGCGUUGCUCGGAAUCGCUGGGCGUAAAGCGCACGUAGGCGGCUUUUUAAGUCAGGGGUGAAAUCCUGGAGCUCAACUCCAGAACUGCCUUUGAUACUGGGAAGCUUGAGUCCGGGAGAGGUGAGUGGAACUCCGAGUGUAGAGGUGAAAUUCGUAGAUAUUCGGAAGAACACCAGUGGCGAAGGCGGCUCACUGGCCCGGUACUGACGCUGAGGUGCGAAAGCGUGGGGAGCAAACAGG
rnacentral:rRNA from 1 species